AUUCCAUCUAUGGCGAUUUUCUUUGCAGCUGCAUGGGGGAGUAUACUGGACAGGAGGCGCCUAACAUAGUGAGGCAAUCCCUUUGCUGUGAUUGCAGUUGGGAUUCCCCUAUUUUUAAUGUGUGUGCGCCUUUGUCGGUCUUCUAUGGUCGCCAUUUUGAGUGCCAUGAGUUUCUGGUGAUGCUGUAUAUUUUGUAUGUUCAUCCAUUGUUGUUAGG